AAUGAGGAUUUGGAGUCUGGAAACUUUCUCUGCUCUGCCAGCUGUGCUCUGCUACUUGCUAGCUGUGGGGCCAGGUCAUCUGAAGCCUCUGUUUGCUUAUCUGUAAAAUGGGAACAUUGCUUGCAGCUGCAACUCUGGCCAAGAGGAUGAACAUAGAAGCCCUUUGUGUCAUCUUCUAUGCAGAUUACCUUUGGUGGAAGAGGAAAAGAUCCGCCCACAGGGAGAGAAUGCACGCAUCAGCCAACAAGAAGAUUCAGUCUGCUCUGAAGCGCUGCUUCCCCUUAUAAAUUAAUGAAUUGCAUCUGAUUUGAAACAUCAGUCUCAUGAGCCUGGUUAACGUGUGUCUGUUCCAUAGAGAGGCUGCCGCUUUUAGGACUAACAGCUCUGGUUUCUGAAGUGAUGUCUGGACCCAGGAUGGUGAUGAAUUUACCAAGAUUAGCCCUGAGCUAACUGCUGCCAACCCUCCUCUUUUUGCUGAGGAAGACUGGCCCUGAGCUAACAUCCGUGCCCAUCUUCCUCUGCUUUCUACGUGGGACGCCUACAACAGGAUGGCUUUUGCCAAGCGGUGCCAUGUCCACCCCCAGGAUCCGAACUGGCAAACCCUGGGCCACCAAGAAGCAGAACGUGCGAACUUAACCGCUGCGCCACUGGGCUGGCCCCUCAGUUGUACAUCAUUAUAUACCA
rnacentral:lncRNA from 1 species